UAGUGCAGGGAGAAGUCGGUC
rnacentral:miRNA from 1 species